rnacentral:rRNA from 1 species
UACGGAGGGUGCAAGCGUUACUCGGAAUUACUGGGCGUAAAGCGUGCGCAGGCGGUUUGUUAAGUCCGUUGUGAAAGCCCCGAGCUCAACUUGGGAAUUGCAGUGGAUACUGGCAGGCUGGAGUACGGUAGAGGAAGGUGGAAUUCCCGGUGUAGCAGUGAAAUGCGUAGAGAUCCGGAAGAACACCGGUGGCGAAGGCGGCCUGCUGGGACAGUGCUGACGCUGAGGCGCGACAGCGUGGGGAGCAAACAGG